rnacentral:rRNA from 1 species
AAUCAAACUCCGUGAUAGCUGGUUCUCCCCGAAAUGCAUUUAGGUGCAGCGUCACGUGUUUCUUGCCGGAGGUAGAGCUACUGGAUGGCCGAUGGGCCCUCACAGGUUACUGACGUCAGCCAAACUCCGAAUGCCGGUAAGUGAGAACGUGGCAGUGAGACUGCGGGGGAUAAGCUUCGUAGUCGAGAGGGAAACAGCCCAGAUCGCCGGCUAAGGCCCCUAAGCGUGUACUAAGUGGAAAAGGAUGUCCGGUCGCGAAGACAACCAGGAGGUUGGCUUAGAAGCAGCCACCCUUGAAAGAGUGCGUAAUAGCUCACUGGUCUAGUGGCUGGGCGCCGACAAUGUAGCGGGGCUCAAGUACACCGCCGAAGCCGCGGCACUCACAGUUUUGACUGUGGGUGGGUAGGGG